ACCUUCCGUUUACAAGAAGUUCCUCUUCAUGGUCAGUCCACUAGAAUCUCUCCAUCCCUUCUGUGAAUUGGUUCUGACCGUCAUGGAAGUUGAGUUGAAUUGUUGUCGAGCUUUUGUCCAAGGUGAUGCUUAAAAGCACAGGCUCUAGUGUCAAAGUGAACGUGGUUAAGACCCUUCACUUUCUGAAUUUCUGUCUUCGGCAUUGGUGAUAGCCUCCGACUACCUGACUGCUAUGAAGACGAAAUGAGAGAAUCUACAUAAGGUUCCUACCCUAAGACUAAGUCCACGGUUCAAAGAUUUACAAAUCACCACCACAUGGCUCCAGAAUUGCUACAGCAGGCAAGGAGGCUUUUAUUGCACAAGGAUUGUGUGACAAGCACAGUGCUACUUCUAGAAUCAUAGGGCACAGAAGACUUGGUGCCUGCUGUCACAGACGUUACAUUCUAAUCAAGGAAGCAGCCAUGAAGUCUGUAAACUAUACAAAUAAUUGUAUAAUUCAAAAACCAAUAAAUGGAACAGAAGAAAAAUA